rnacentral:rRNA from 1 species
UACGUAGGGAGCGAGCGUUAUCCGGAUUUAUUGGGUGUAAAGGGUGCGUAGACGGGAGUGCAAGUUAGUUGUGAAAUCCCUCGGCUCAACUGAGGAACUGCAACUAAAACUGUACUUCUUGAGUGCUGGAGAGGAAAGCGGAAUUCCUAGUGUAGCGGUGAAAUGCGUAGAUAUUAGGAGGAACACCAGUGGCGAAGGCGGCUUUCUGGACAGUAACUGACGUUGAGGCACGAAAGUGUGGGGAGCAAAC